GACGAACGCUGGCGGCGUGCUUAACACAUGCAAGUCGAACGGAAAGGCCCUGCUUUUGUGGGGUGCUCGAGUGGCGAACGGGUGAGUAACACGUGAGUAACCUGCCCUUGACUUUGGGAUAACUUCAGGAAACUGGGGCUAAUACCGGAUAGGAGCUCCUGCUGCAUGGUGGGGGUUGGAAAGUUUCGGCGGAUGGGGAUGGACUCGCGGCUUAUCAGCUUGUUGGUGGGGUAGUGGCUUACCCAGGCUUUGGCGGGUAGCCGGCCUGAGAGGGGGACCGGCCACAAUGGGACUGAGAUACGGCGCAGACUCCUACGGGAGGCAGCAGGGGGGAAUAUUGCACAAUGGGCGGAAGCCUGAUGCAGCAACGCCGCGUGCGGGAUGACGGCCUUCGGGUUGUAAACCGCUUUCGCCUGUGACGAAGCGGGAGUGACGGUAAUGGGUAAAGAAGCACCGGCUAACUACGUG
rnacentral:rRNA from 1 species